UGCUUAUGAGGAUCGAUUUGCUCUGAGGGUGUGUGACAGGCUGCGUUAUGUGUUUUAGGAUAAACGAUAAUGAGGGAGUGGCAGAGAUGUUAAUUGACUCCCUGGGUGCAAAUAUUGUGAAUGCAACGGACUCCAAGGGCAGGACUCCUCUUCAUGCUGCAGCUUUUUCUGACCAUGUGGAGUGCGUUUCCCUUCUUCUGAGCCAUGGAGCUCAGGCAAAUGUUGUUGA